AAAAACCUUGUGUCUACAUCCUUAAUACGCCACGAUCCAAACUCAAAGUCCAAAAACCAAGACUACUCCAACCUAGCACCACACUAGCACCAUACAAAACAAACUUUCACUGAACUUAAACUUGGUGCUAAAAAACACUAUCGUAACGUUACAUCAUUAAAUGGAAUGUUUUGAAACACCCCGUAAUGAUAAACCAAGUUAAUCAAUAACUUCAAAAAACGAGCGUUUAUUAAACGCUGACCCGUUACGAUUUAAGUUUGGACCCUAAAAAUAUCAUGUUUCUGAACGCACCCUUUGUUGAACUUAUUUAUUUACUCUAUGGCAUAUCGUCUAUGCUUUUAAAAAGUUAAAUGUCACUGAGAUAUUUUGCGAAUUCUAACCUUAUCUUACCUACCAAAAAAAACUUUCGCCGCAUUUAUUACUAGAUUUAUCUAUACUUCAGCCACUACUUAAACAACAAAUUGGAAAACUAGAUAUGAGUGUGAUCAACUUCGAACAAAUACAUACUUAGAACUUCAAUAUCUAGUUUGUCAAAAUGCGAACUUGAAAUGGAAUUAAAUCUACUAAUAAACACAGAUUACUAUAAAACUGUGUUAAAUUUGAACAACAGACCACCAUAAAAGCAAUAGAUAUCCAGCUAUGUCUAUAACUGGACACUGGACUACAGGAAUUUGUAACUUCAGAAAUCAAUGAAAAAAUAUGGGAACACAGGCACUGGCAGUGCGCAGAAGUAGUAUAUCUUCAACAAAUCAAAAUCGUUUCUAAUCAGGAACACAACAGAAGUCACUUGCCGGAGACUAUCAAAGGUUACUGCUGCGGUCGGACCCAAACACUGCCACUUCACAGCCGUUCCUGCAAACUUCCAACUACUGCCAGCGACACCUCUGUGUGGAUCUACACCUCAUAAAUAAGUUCAACGGGCAUUAAACAUUAAAAGUGUACUGAAACCGCCGUUGUAUAAUAAGUUUAACUCAAAAUAUUUAAAUAUGAUGGCAAAAGACUUACAAAUUCAUGUGGCACUAUUGUAUCAUUACUAUUUAUAAUAAACAAUGCUAUAU